AAAUGUUUUCUUGUAGCUUUGAGGUCAACAGUUGUCUCUAUUGCAAAAUAGUCUCGGCAACCCCUCAGUGUGUUAUUUUAUAACCAUUGUCCUGAAAACCACUAUGAGUCAAAGCCUAUUCAAGCGAGGGAAAGUGACAGAACCGCUGGUUACCAGUAGCAAUGCGAUGACAGUCUCUCCAUCAGGAAUACGCCACCAGUAUUUACAUAGUUAUAUUGCAGACGCUUAAAGAGAUAAGUCAUGUAUAAAGGCAGGGCUUCUAGCAGCACAUGAAUUCAAGAUAGGGAGAUAGAUUAUUGCAGAAAAUGGGAUCAGCAUUUGUGCUCUGAAAGGAACUUCCACAGUUUCUAUUUACAAUGUAUGAAAGCACCUGCAGGGCUUGCUGACAGGCUGAUUGCUCCGGACUGAAAUGACUCUCAAAAAAGCACUGCGAAAUCUAGUUCUGGGAAUUCUCUUACAGCAGCAGGGACGUGGCUGAAACAUUUCCAGAGAAAAGGGCAGCUGUGCUUAUGAACUACUCCCAUGGUGGGAGCUGUACGCUUAGGAGGGUGAACAGAGCACAGACCUUUAUCCAAAGCCAGAAAAAAGUUGGCUUUUUUCAUCAUGGAUGGCCUGUGGGCAACAACUCUGUGAUUUCUUAGGGAGGAAACCAGCUGGCUCUGCCUUUGCUAGUUCCUGGAAGACCAUCCCUGACCCAUGGGCGCCUCAACUAUGACAGCAAAGAGACUCUUUCUCGGAUGCAGGUACUCAUGUAUGCAAUAUGAAGUCACUCAUGCUAACAAUGUACGCUACUGACAAAUACUGGAUCAUCAUCUAAUUUCUUUCACCUUAGUCUGUCUUGGUUAGAACAAGACAAAGACCAGGAACAGCACAGACAACAGGUUUCUGUUUCCUUCUGGCCGUAGCCAAAGAUUCAUCCCCCAGCUGCCUCUGCUGUGGCAGUUGGCAAAAAGCUAUUCGCUGCAGGCACAGACAGGAUGAUUAUAAAGACCUUUACUCCUGAUUUGUGAAAGAAACUAGGAGGUCAAUGACCAGUCGCAUAACUAUGGCAGUGUAAAGGUGCUGUUCUGAAGCCUCUCUUUGUAGUAUCUACAGCAGACUGUACAGGUAAUGAAAUUUUAUUUUAUCAUGUGCAACACAGAAAUGAUAGUCUACUUGAGAAGUUGAAUAGAUGAUUUCCCUCUCCUGCUCCAGUGAGAGCUUGGCUGGCUGUGUGAGGGUCAAUCCAUCUAAUUUCUUCUAUCGUAUCUGAGGACCUGUGGAGUUGUAUCAGCUCCAUCAAGUUUUAAAAUUUUGAAAGAAACUCAAACUUUGAAUUAAAUGUUUCUUAGCACAAAGGUUUUAGAGAUCAAAACAAAUAAGGAGCUCAAAAGUAUCAUUAGUAGAAGAUGAAGGCAGAAGCCUGUUGGCAGCCCAUGUUAAAAGCAGCAACCUGUAUAUAAACUGACUUCUGCACUGUUCAGAAAAUCCCCUCCGUACCUUACCCUUUAAAGCUGCAUGCCAGUCCCUUAUAGAAGGUACAUUUUAACACUAUUCACAUUUUUAAGCAGCACAAGAAGUCCUUGGGCAAAGUAAUUUCUAGGGUCAUGCAGGAUUCUAUUUUAUACCUUGUGGAUAUAGCUACGUCCACUCUCCAUCUGAAGUCCUGGACACUUGGCAGCCUACUUCC